UGAACGCUGGCGGCGUGCCUAAUACAUUCAAGUCGAGCGAACAGAAUUGGAGCUUGCUCCAAUGACGUUAGCGGCGGACGGGUGAGUACACGUGGGUAACCUGCCCUACAGACUGGGAUAACUUCGGGAAACCGGAGCUAAUACCGGAUAAUACUUUUUAACACAUGUUAGAAAGUUGAAAGAUGGUUCUGCUAUCACUGUAGGAUGGACCCGCGGCGCAUUAGCUAGUUGGUGAGGUAACGGCUCACCAAGGCAACGAUGCGUAGCCGACCUGAGAGGGUGAUCGGCCACACUGGGACUGAGACACGGCCCAGACUCCUACGGGAGGCAGCAGUAGGGAAUCUUCCACAAUGGGCGAAAGCCUGAUGGAGCAACGCCGCGUGAGUGAAGAAGGAUUUCGGUUCGUAAAACUCUGUUGCAAGGGAAGAACAAGUAGCGUAGUAACUGGCGCUACCUUGACGGUACCUUGUUAGAAAGCCACGGCUAACUACGUGCCAGCAGCCGCGGAUAAUACGUUAGGUGGCAAGCGUUGUCCGGGAAUUAUUGGGCGUAAA
rnacentral:rRNA from 1 species